rnacentral:rRNA from 1 species
UACAGAGGCCCCAAGCGUUACUGAGAAUCACUGGGUUUAAAGGGUGCGUAGGUGGUCCGUUAAGUUCGUUGUGAAAGCCCUGGGCUCAACCCAGGAACUGCUUCGAAUACUGGCGGACUUGAGGCUAGUAGAGGUCACUGGAACUGACGGUGGAGCGGUGAAAUGCGUAGAUAUCGUCAGGAACGCCAAUGGUGAAGACAGGUGACUGGGCUAGAUCUGACACUGAGGCACGAAAGCGUGGGGAUCAAACGGG